rnacentral:rRNA from 1 species
AUUUGAGAGUUUGAUCCUGGCUCAGGAUGAACGCUGGCGGCGUGCCUUAGGCAUGCAAGUCGAUCGGUCCGCAGGACCGAACACGUCAACUUGUAACUUGUAACUGGUAACAGUUAACAGUAAACUAGAAAUAUGUAUAAAACCUUUCGCUUUCUAGAAUUUAAAGUCUAUAAAGAUGCGAAGAAGUUUUAUAGAGCAAUUGUUUUUCUUACCAAGCAGUUUCCAAGAGAAUUUUGGGAGCUUGGUGAUCAAUUAAGAAGGUGUGCCUUAUCUGUUUGUCUAAAUAUUGCGGAAGGAUCGGGGAAGAAUUCUGACAAAGAAUUCAACUAGAAGCGAAACAGAUUGCUGAUCAACUUGGUGGUUUCUCCAAAAAACUAAAGCUUCGUUAAUUGUUACAGGUUAAUUGUUACUUGUUGGUAUGUUCUGUCCUGCGGACAGAGGCGGACGGGUGAGUAACGCGUAGGAAUCUACCCUUCAGGGUGAACCCUUCGGGGUGAACCCUUUGGUCGAGGAUAGCCCGCCGAAAGGCGGGGUAAUCCUGGAUAAGACGGGUACCGUCUGGUACCCGUGAAAGCGAGUAACUUCGCGCCGAAGGAUGAGCCUGCGUCCUAUCAGCUAGUUGGUGGGGUAAUAGCCUACCAAGGCGAUGACGGGUAGCUGGACUGAGAGGUCGGUCAGCCACAAGGGCAUUGAGAUACGGGCCCUACACCUACGGGUGGCAGCAACCGGGAAUAUUGCGCAAUGGAGGAAACUCUGACGCAGCGACGCCGCGUGUGGGAUGAAGGUCUUCGGAUCGUAAACCACUCAAUUCCGAGCAAUCGCGAGGAAGGAUUUAGCGCCCACAAACUACGUGCCAGCAGUUGCGGUAAGACGUAGGGCGCAAGCGUUAUCCGGAUUUAUUGGGCGUAAAGAGUGGCGUAGGCGGCCCGUAAAGUCUCACUUAAAAUAUCAAGGCUUAACCUUGAAACUGGGUGAGAGACUUACGGGCUUGAAGAUUGGUGGGGAUUUUGGAACUUUAAGUGGAGCAGUGAAAUGCGUUGAUAUUUAAAGGAACACCGAUGGCGAAGGCAAAAAUCUAACCAAUUUUUGACGCUGAGGCACGAAAGCUUGGGGAGCGAAGCAGAUUGGAGACCUGCGUAGUCCAAGCUGUAAACUAUCCCUGCUAGAUAGCCGGGACGUACCGUAUGGUACAUCCUGGCUGUCGUAAGCUAACGCGUUAAGCAGGGCGCCUGGGGAGUACGAGCGCAAGCUUAAAACUCAAAGGAAUUGACGGGGAUCUGCACAAGCGGUGGAGCGUGUGGUUUAAUUCGAGACAAAGCGAAGAACCUCACCAGGGUUUGACAUGACAGAAGUAGGCGGUGGAAACACCAACCAUCUGUUAAGUCAGAAACUGUCAAAGCUGCUGCAUGGCUGUCGUCAGCUCGUGCCGUGGGGUGUUGGCUUAAGUGCCAUAACGAGCGCAACCCUCAAUAUUCAAAGAAGACGGUCCUGAAUUUAUUUCAGGAAGGAAGGUGGGGAUGACGUCAAGUCAGCACGGCGCCUAUGCCCUGGGCGACACACACCCUACAAUGGCGAAAAACAACGGGUUGCAACUCCGCAAGGGGAAGCUAAUCCCUGAAAUUUCGCCCCAGUUGGGAUUGGGGGCUGAAACUCGCCCCCAUGAACGCGGAAUCGCUAGUAAUCGCAAAUCAGCAGGUUGCGGUGAAUACGUUCUCAGAUCUUGUACACACCGCCCGUCAAGCCAACAAAGUCGGCAACGGCCGAAAAGGGGUGCCGUCUGGUACCCCUCUAAGCCGAGGUCGGCGAUGGGGACUAAGUCGUAACAAGGUAUCCCUAGCUGAAGCUGGGGAUGGAUCACCUCCUUUCU